GAUGAAGAACGUAGCGAAAUGCGAUAAGUAAUGUGAAUUGCAGAGUUCAGUGAAUCAUCGAAUCUUUGAACGCAUCUUGCGCUCCUUGGUAUUCUGAGGAGCAUGCCUGUUUGAGUGUCAUUAAAUUCUCAACUACACUGACUUUGAAUUGGUGUGGCUUGGAUUUGGGGGGAAAAUUGUUGUGGGCUUUUUGUAUAGUCUGCUCCCCUGAAAUUGAUUAGCGGUACCUUUGUGGAACUGUCUACAGGUGUGAUAAUUAUCUACAUCUUAGACAUCUGCUGGAAUGCUGCUUUCUAAACCUUACUUGUAUUGACAAUCUUGACCUCAAAUCAGCUAGGACUACCCGCUGAACUUAAGCAUAUCAAUAAGCGGAGGA
rnacentral:misc_RNA from 1 species